GAUGUCUUCGUCAAUGAAGUGCUUGUAAAGUUAGCACACGAAGCAACUUUAUACUAAGAAGGGUGCUAUUAACCAUGAUGAAGUUGAUCGUCAAAACUAUGCUUUAAUCUGCUAUCCACCUGAAUUUUGAGUCGAAAGAUUUAUGGGAGAAAAAUUAAAUUUUUAUACUAAAGUUAAGUGUAACAUAAUACAAUUAAGCAAAUUCAUUAUCAUACUAUUUAGUAGAACGGAGCAACAACAUGCAGAAGACUACAAGAGUUUAAACUGCGGGUCCCGCGUUGUUGUCCUGAAGCAAAGGAGCACUCUCGCCUGUUAAAGCAGCGCGUCUCUGUCUGUAGGGAAGGAGGAAGAGAAGAGCAGCGAAAAGGGUCAUGAGACCAGCAAUGAUAAAGGCGAAAAUGUGUUGCAAGGCAAAGAGGUGAAUAAACAUUUGUCCAAUACCGAUUGAAAGGAAAAGGUAUGCGCUGACGAGGGAAAGAGCCCAGUCAUGGAAUCCUAAAAUAGGAACAAGAUACAUGGCGGCAAAGAACCAGAUAAACACAUUAGAAAAGACGCGGCAACCAAUGCCGGUGCAGUGUAAAGCGGCAGAGAAGGCAUAAACAACGAACCAAAGAGACUUGCCAAAAACAAGUUUCGAGGGCAACUUCAUGCUAAUCAUCUCAACAAAACCAUUUCUCAAGCGAAGCGAUUGGCCGUACAUGGUGAAAGAAGAUGAGAAUAGACACAAGGAAAAGAAUGCAGUCCAGUACAGCUUCUCACGGGUAAAUGCCCAGACGGUAAACACGACAAAUACAUUGUACCAGAUAGAUGUGUGAAUAAUGGAGAAGGUAAAAUCGUUUACCUGAUCACCAAGCAUUAAAAGGGGCACAAUCAUCAAAAGGAAAGACAAGUAUUCGACCAAGAGGUAGCCACCAAGCAUGAACUUGUUGGCGAAAAAUGGAGUGGCAUGGUGAUUGUAAACCCAUUCAAGAGAUGGUUUGGUAAACAAAUGAGCCAAAAGGGUAGCAAAGCUUACACCCAAGGCUAAGACGAGCCCAAUAAUGUAUUUUGACUCACGAGUAAUUUGCAUAUUGAACAAUUAAGUAGUAGGCGAAAGAAUAAGAAGAAACUAGCGGUAAUAUUAAUAGUACGAAUU